AGUGGGGAAUAUUGGACAAUGGGCGCAAGCCUGAUCCAGCAAUGCCGCGUGGAUGAAGAAGGUUUUCGGAUUGUAAAGUCCUUUCGGCGGGGACGAUGAUGACGGUACCCGCAGAAGAAGCCCCGGCUAACUUCGUGCCAGCAGCCGCGGUAAUACGAAGGGGGCUAGCGUUGCUCGGAAUGACUGGGCGUAAAGGGCGCGUAGGCGGCUGUCUUUGUCGGGCGUGAAAUUCCUGGGCUCAACCUGGGGGCUGCGUUCGAGACGGGACGGCUGGAGGUCAGAAGAGGCUCGUGGAAUUCCCAGUGUAGAGGUGAAAUUCGUAGAUAUUGGGAAGAACACCGGUGGCGAAGGCGGCGAGCUGGUCUGAUACUGACGCUGAGGCGCGACAGCGUGGGGAGCAAA
rnacentral:rRNA from 1 species